rnacentral:sRNA from 1 species
ACUCGCGAAGUUCUCGCCGGACGAAGGGACCAGCCAGCAUCUCGCUAGACAGCGAGGCCGGAAGCGGAGGCGCGGCCCCUGCGCGGCCCCGGAAACCAGUGAGGCCGGCGCGCGCCCGCCGGAAGCCGCGACCCCGACGCGCCCCCCAUCGCCCUCGGCGCCGGAAGUGGUCGCGGGCAGUUCUGCUUCCUGGCCGAGGGGCGUGCGCGGGCCCGGGGCGGCUGCGGAGGCCGAAGCAUCCAUGGCGGAGGGCGGCAGCCCAGACGGGCGGGCAGGGCCGGGCUCCGCAGACAGGGUGUUGCUGUGUUGCCCAGGCUGAUCUUGAACUCCUGGCCUCAAGUGAUCCUGCCUCAGCCUCCUGAGUAGCUGGGAUUACAGGCGUGCCACCAUGCCCAGCUUGUGGUUUAUUUCUUGAGCAUUUGAAGUGCAGGUCGUAAUCUGAAGGAGUGGCUGAGGGAGCAAUUUUGUGAUCACCCGCUGGAGCACUGUGAGGACACGAGGCUCCAUGAUGCAGCUUACGUCGGGGACCUCCAGACCCUCAGGAGCCUAUUGCAAGAGGAGAGCUACCGGAGCCGCAUCAACGAGAAGUCUGUCUGGUGCUGUGGCUGGCUCCCCUGCACACCGUUGCGAAUCGCGGCCACUGCAGGCCAUGGGAGCUGUGUGGACUUCCUCAUCCGGAAGGGGGCCGAGGUGGAUCUGGUGGACGUAAAAGGACAGACGGCCCUGUAUGUGGCUGUGGUGAA